rnacentral:lncRNA from 1 species
UAUGGAAGAGGUCAGCCUUUUAUUAGAAGGGAAUAUGGAAAUAAUUCUGCAGAAGCUGGAAGAAAUCAACAACAUAGAAUGAAUAACCUGUAUUCAACUCAGCAAGGUCAGGUUAAUAAGGAUAAUUGGUCUAGCUAUGGACAAGGAUUUCGACCCUAUUCAAAUCCUGCACAAAGGUAUCAAAGUGUUAGGUCGUACCCACCACAAAGCUCAAAUGGUGAUAGACAAACACAGAAUACAAAGCCUACCAAUAAUGGCUCUCUGCAAUGCCAGAUCUGUAAGAAAUCAGGUCACACAGCACUCAGAUGUUGGUAUAGAUUCGACAAUUCAUACCAGGUGGAUGAAAUACCAACUGCAUUAGCAGCAGUUCACAUUGAAGAACCCUAUGGCUCAGAAUGGUAUCCGGAUACAGGGGCUACGUCACACAUUAUCUCAGAACCUGGUAUGAUUCAAAACUUCAAUACAUAUAGUGGUAAUGACACUGUCAUGAUAGGAGAUGGAUCUCACUUAUCAAUCUCAUGCAUUGGUAGUGGAAUACUAAAUGCAGGAAAUAGCAAAUUACCUCUAAAUGAUGUAUUGAUAGU